rnacentral:rRNA from 1 species
AUACGGAGGAUGCAAGCGUUAUCCGGAUUUAUUGGGUUUAAAGGGUGCGCAGGCGGCGCGUUAAGUCAGCGGUGAAAUGUCCCGGCUCAACCGGGGAGCUGCCGUUGAUACUGGCGUGCUGGAGUGCGGACGGCGCCGGCGGAAUAUGUAAUGUAGCGGUGAAAUGCAUAGAUAUUACAUAGAACACCGAUCGCGAAGGCAGCUGGCGAGGCCGUUACUGACGCUGAGGCACGAAAGCGUGGGGAUCAAACAGGAUUAGAUACCCUGGUAGUCCACGCAGUAAACGAUGAUGACUUGUUGUCGGCGAUAGACAGUCGGUGACAAAGCGAAAGCGAUAAGUCAUCCACCUGGGGAGUACGAUCGCAAGGUUGAAACUCAAAGGAAUUGACGGGG